rnacentral:rRNA from 1 species
AGAAGAAGCACCGGCUAACUACGUGCCAGCAGCCGCGGUAAUACGUAGGGUGCGAGCGUUAAUCGGAAUUACUGGGCGUAAAGCGUGCGCAGGCGGUUUUNUAAGACAGACGUGAAAGCCCCGGGCUUAACCUGGGAACGGCGUUUGUGACUGCAAGACUAGAGUGUAGCAGAGGGGGGUAGAAUUCCACGUGUAGCAGUGAAAUGCGUAGAGAUGUGGAGGAAUACCGAUGGCGAAGGCAGCCCCCUGGGCUAACACUGACGCUCAUGCACGAAAGCGUGGGGAGCAAACAGGAUUAGAUACCCUGGUAGUCCACGCCCUAAACGAUGUCAACUAGGUGUUGG